GGUCAGCUUGACUUAUUGGUACAGUUAGGCUACUUGCUAUGUAGUUCCUUCACAGGAUCAGUGUUCGAUUCACUGGCUGACCG
rnacentral:tRNA from 1 species